rnacentral:lncRNA from 1 species
GGGUCAGCAGAUUAUGAUCCAGAGGCCAAGCCCAGCCUGUCUGCUUUUGUGUAUAAAGUUCUCAUGGAACAGAGCUGUGAGCCUGCCGUGUGUGGUCUACGGCUGCCCCUGGACACAGCUGCAGAGCUGAUUCCCGCACAGACCUCGGGGCCCACAGAGGGAGGCGCUUUCCCUCCAUCAUCCCCACUGAGCACCAGCCGCCACAGCCGCUAAAACCUGCGGAACUCACUCCAUGCCCCUUGUUGGCUUUCUUCACAUAAAGUGGAUAAAACUGGGUGUUUACAGCCUAAAGCAGCCCAUGCCAAGGCACUCCUCAGGGACUGAGCCUUAGUCACAGUCCUUGUGACUACAGCACGUCCAUAGAUGGGAGCUGGCCGAGGGAUCCGUGUGCCUCCAGCUUCUCGGAGCUGGAAAGAAUCCAUACUGGAAAAAUGUUCCUUCAGUGCUCCUCCUUCUGGGAAAAAAAGACGGGGAGCUACAUCAACCUUAAGGGUUCAUGUUGCUUGAAUUCAGCCCACAACCACCGAGUCCCAGGAAGCCCAGCCGAGACCGCGGCAGGUCCUGACGCAGCAUCAGCCUGAGUCUGAGCCCAGAGGAAGCUUCUGCUGCCACAAUUGCUGCGUGUGCUCAUGGCUUGGGUGCAGGCCCAACCACAGCGGACCAAGGGCAGGCUGAGAUUUGGCCUGGACUGGAGGGCUGUCUCAAGGAGGUAUCUUAAAUAGUGAAGAUGGAGAAAUAUUCAAUAAUGAAGAGCAUGAAUAUGCAUCCAAAAAAAGGAAAAAGGACCAUUUUAGAAAUGACACAAAUACUCAAAAGGCAUGGCUAUUGCACCUUGGGAGAAGCCUUUAAUCGGUUAGACUUCUCAAGUGCAAUUCAAGAUACCCGAAGGUUCAAUUAUGUGGUCAAAAUGAUGAUUAUUCCCCACCUUCUAAGAGACAAAGACCAACGAGCCACCACAGCCACCAGUCCCAGAACCCGCCAAUGCUGGGGAACGGAAAAUGAGGGAGUUCAACUCUGGCCCUCACAAUCCAGUGGAGGAGACGAAACUCAUCUGCCUCUGUCCCUCUGGGCACGCCUCAUGCCAGGUGCAUCUGUGGACAGGGGCCAUGCUCCUGGGCUUCCAAAGUUGGAGAAAGCUGCCAGGCUCAGGUGGGUACAUCACAGCAGCUGCUGCCCUCUGAACACAGUGACAAAAGAACACUGUGGGCCUGGAGCCCUGGUCUGGGGCAUUGCGCAAGGCUGUUGCACUUCUCUGAUCCCAUUUCCCCAUCUGGAAAGUGCGCUGAUUGUAUCUCCCUGUGGGCACUGA